rnacentral:rRNA from 1 species
GAUGAACGCUGGCGGCGUGCCUAAUACAUGCAAGUCGAGCGAACGGACGAGAAGCUUGCUUCUCUGAUGUUAACGGCGGACGGGUGAGUAACACGUGGAUAACCUACCUAUAAGACUGGGAUAACUUCGGGAAACCGGAGCUAAUACCGGAUGAUAUUUUGAACCGCAUGGUUCAAAAGUGAAAGACGGUCUUGCUGUCACUUAUAGAUGGAUCCGCGCUGCAUUAGCUAGUUGGUAAGGUAACGGCUUACCAAGGCAACGAUGCAUAGCCGACCUGAGAGGGUGAUCGGCCACACUGGAACUGAGACACGGUCCAGACUCCUACGGGAGGUAGCAGUAGGGAAUCUUCCGCAAUGGGCGAAAGCCUGACGGAGCAACGCCGCGUGAGUGAUGAAGGUCUUCGGAUCGUAAAACUCUGUUAUUAGGGAAGAACAUAUGUGUAAGUAACUGUGCACAUCUUGACGGUACCUAAUCAGAAAGCCACGGCUAACUACGUG